CCCUUAGAUGUUCUGGGCCGCACGCGCGCUACACUGAUGCAUGCAACGAGUUCUAUCCUUGGCCGGAAGGCCUGGGUAAUCUGUGAACGUGCAUCGUGAUAGGGAUAGAUUAUUGCAAUUAUUAAUCUUGAACGAGGAAUUCCUAGUAAACGCAAGUCAUCAGCUUGCAUUGAUUACGUCCCUGCCCUUUGUACACACCGCCCGUCGCACCUACCGAUCGAAGGUAAUGAUGAGCCCUCAGGAUUGUGGCCUCGUCGCGUCAGCGUCUUGGCUGCGAGAAUCUGUGCAAAUCCCUGCCUUUAGAGGAAGGUGAAGUCGUAACA
rnacentral:rRNA from 1 species